UGAAAAUUUGAAAGAUGAGGAGGGACAGAGC
rnacentral:piRNA from 1 species